rnacentral:rRNA from 1 species
GUGGGUAGCAAANGAUUAGAUNCCGUGUCACCCCUAAANGUCGGUGGGGUGAAACUUGUGACUGGUGGUGCGUGGGAGCGUCGCGAAAUGACGGGACCGCAGCGGGGAUGUGUGGAUAACUCGAUGCAACGCGAAAAACCUUACCUACCCUUGACAUGUCCGGAAUCCUGCUGAGAGGUGGGAGUGCCCGAAAGGGAAUCGGAACACAGGUGCUGCAUGGCUGUCGUCAGCUCGUGUCGUGAGAUGUUGGGUUAAGUCCCGCAACGAGCGCAACCCUUAUCAUUAGUUGCUACGCAAGGGCACUCUAAUGAGACUGCCGGUGACAAACCGGAGGAAGGUGGGGAUGACGUCAAGUCCUCAUGGCCCUUAUGGGUAGGGCUUCACACGUCAUACAAUGGUCGGUACAGAGGGUUGCCAAGCCGCGAGGUGGAGCCAAUCCCAGAAAGCCGAUCGUAGUCCGGAUUGUUCUCUGCAACUCGAGAGCAUGAAGUCGGAAUCGCUAGUAAUCGCGGAUCAGCAUGUCGCGGUGAAUACGUUCCCGGGUCUUGUACACACCGCCCGUCACAACCAUGGGAGGAUGAAGUAGGUAGCCUAACCCGCGAGGAGG